rnacentral:tRNA from 1 species
AUUUAGAUAGUUUAUAUAAAAUAUUGAAUUGUGAUUUCAAAGAUAAAUUUAUUUUUCUAAAUU